UAGCGCCCCUAUCUCCGCCCACUCAACCGCCACGUGGCAGCCGAGUGAGGGCCUCGGGGUAACGC
rnacentral:miRNA from 18 species